AAAGGGAGACCUAAUUCAGGUAAAAGACGAAAAAAAAGUAGUCCCUACCAAGAAUCAAUCCCAAAAGGUCGGAACGAGGUAUGAGGCUUUCAAACUAGGUUCUGGGUUCAUAAAAGACCUGAAUCAGGAACAAGGGCUAUUAGCUCAGGUGGUUAGAGCGCACCCCUGAUAAGGGUGAGGUCCCUGGUUCGAGUCCAGGAUGGCCCACCUGCACAGGUGGCAAAAACAAGAGAAGCGAGGAAUCAGCACCUUAUCUUACUUAUAUAGUAAGAGAGAAUGCUGGCUCUGAGUAAAGAGUCCAGAGGAACCUUGAAAACUGCAUAGAGCUAGGUGAAAAAGCCAAAAAAGAAGACCGCAAG
rnacentral:tRNA from 1 species